rnacentral:rRNA from 1 species
ACAUACGGCCAUGUGGUGCGUUGACACACCCAAUCCCAUCAAUCUCGGAAGUCAAGCCACGUACAGUCCGGAGAGCACUUUGAUGGGAGACCAACCAAGGACUACCAGAUGCUACAUAAC